rnacentral:lncRNA from 1 species
UUUUUUUUUUUUUUUAAUGUAUAGGAUUGAUUCAUUCUGGGGAGAGGUUUUGAGGGAUCUAUCAGAAUUUUAAUGGGAGAUGCACUGUGGAUUUUGCCAGUAUCAGUUGAAGGCUUGGCCCACGAGGAGAUGGUAACUGACUAAUGUCCCGGAACUUAGCCCCAGUGCCGUCAGAGAUGGAGCAAAUAAGAGAUGUUGAAGGGUCAUUUGACUCAUCGAUUGGCUACUUUGAUUGCUACUGUCAAACUCUAGAAUUGUUUCCCCUUUUGGGAGAAGGAUAAUCUAGCAUGAUUGUUUUCUAAGAAAUCUUGUCCUAAUAAGUGAAUUGGGGUGGAGGAACUAAGGCGAGAGGGGUGGGUGUCUCUUAGAGGAUCUAAACAGAAGAGAAUCAGUUUAGAAACAGAAAUGUGCUAAGAUGUAUUUAUUUAUUUAUUUAUUUAUUUACUUAUUUAUGUAUUUAUUUUAAGGAUUUUAUUUAUUUAUUCAUGAGAGACACACACACAGAGAAGCAGAGGCAUAGACAGAGGCACGCUCCUGGCAGGGAGCCCUAUGCAGGACUCAAUCCCAGGAUGGGGAUCACACCCUGAGCCAAAGGCAAACGCUCAACUGCUGAGCUUCCCAGGCGUCCCACGUGCUAAGGUUUAGCAGAGACUCCCAUUAUUUGAGUAAUUUUAAUACUCCAAGGCAGGGGCCGCUUUACAGCAGCAAGAUUGAACACCGAGAGUAUAGCUCUAAUGUCAAUAAGAGUAGAAAGAGCCAUUUCCCAAUCUGAAAAGACGCUUCUCUGCGCUGAUUAAGAGGAAGGAUGGGGAGUACCUCAGAUCCUGUGAUCGAGGAUUAGGACACUGGAAAGGCUGGCUGAGGCAUCUGGAGUACUUCAGCUUAUAGCUGUCCUUUCUCCAAGUGUCCUGACUCUCGGCAAUAGUGGCAGACACCACUAUUUUGAUUUUGUUUAGGGGCCUCCAUUUGUUGAAGCUGAAAAUUAAGGAUUUCUUGGUCUUCCUUUUGGGUCAAAUCAUCCAUAGUGCAGUCAAGCUGCUCUGCUAAAUUAAUUAGAGCUGGAGUGGACAUAGUUUCCCUUUCCAUCCCGGUCCUUUUAAAGAGAAGAGAAUAAUCCCAAUUCAGCCC